rnacentral:rRNA from 1 species
AACGAACGCUGGCGGCGUGUUUAAGACAUGCAAGUCGCACGGGAUAAGACAUGUAGUAAUACUUGUUUUAUUUAGUGGCGCACGGGUGAGUAACACGUGAAUUACAUGCCCUAUAGUGGGGAAUAGCCCAGGGAAACUUGGAUUAAUACCCCAUGGUAUCGAAAGAUUAAAGGUGGCGGCAAGGCUGUCGCUAUAGGAUUGGUUCGCGCCCUAUCAGCUUGUUGGUGAGGUAACGGCUCACCAAGGCAAUGACGGGUACCUGGUCUGAGAGGACGAUCAGGCACACGAGAACUGAGACACGGUCCAGACACCUACGGGGGGCAGCAGUCGAGAAUAAUGCACAAUGGGGGCAGCCCUGAUGGUGCAACGCCGCGUGGAGGAUGACGGUCUUCGGAUUGUAAACUCCUGUCAUCUGGGAGAAAGACCUGACGGUAAAUAGCCGGCAGGGUUGAUAGUACCAGAAGAGGAAGGGACGGCUAACUUCGUGCCAGCCGCCGCGGUAA